CGUGUAGGCGGUUGGUCAAGUCUGGUGUGAAAGCCCGGGGCUCAGCUCCGGAAGUGCGCUGGAAACUAGCCGACCGGAGCGCGAUAGAGGAGGGUGGAAUUCCUGGUGUAGCGGUGAAAUGCGUAGAUAUCAGGAGGAACACCGGCGGCGAAGGCGGCCCUCUGGAUCGUUGCUGACGCUGAGACGCGAAAGCGUGGGGAGCAAACAGGAUUAGAUACCCUGGUAGUCCACGCUGUAAACUAUGGGUACUAGGUGUUCGGGGUGUUGACCCCCUGAGUGCCGACGCUAACGCAUUAAGUACCCCGCCUGGGGACUACGGCCGCAAGGCUAAA
rnacentral:rRNA from 1 species